AGAAGGGAGCUUGCUCCCGGAUGUUAGCGGCGGACGGGUGAGUAACACGUGGGUAACCUGCCUGUAAGACUGGGAUAACUCCGGGAAACCGGAGCUAAUACCGGAUAGUUCCUUGAACCGCAUGGUUCAAGGAUGAAAGACGGUUUCGGCUGUCACUUACAGAUGGACCCGCGGCGCAUUAGCUAGUUGGUGAGGUAACGGCUCACCAAGGCGACGAUGCGUAGCCGACCUGAGAGGGUGAUCGGCCACACUGGGACUGAGACACGGCCCAGACUCCUACGGGAGGCAGCAGUAGGGAAUCUUCCGCAAUGGACGAAAGUCUGACGGAGCAACGCCGCGUGAGUGAUGAAGGUUUUCGGAUCGUAAAGCUCUGUUGUUAGGGAAGAACAAGUGCAAGAGUAACUGCUUGCACCUUGACGGUACCUAACCAGAAAGCCACGGCUAACUACGUGCCAGCAGCCGCGGUAAUACGUAGGUGGCAAGCGUUGUCCGGAAUUAUUGGGCGUAAAGGGCUCGCAGGCGGUUUCUUAAGUCUGAUGUGAAAGCCCCCGGCUCAACCGGGGAGGGUCAUUGGAAACUGGGAAACUUGAGUGCAGAAGAGGAGAGUGGAAUUCCACGUGUAGCGGUGAAAUGCGUAGAGAUGUGGAGGAACACCAGUGGCGAAGGCGACUCUCUGGUCUGUAACUGACGCUGAGGAGCGAAAGCGUGGGGAGCGAACAGGAUUAGAUACCCUGGUAGUCCACGCCGUAAACGAUGAGUGCUAAGUGUUAGGGGGUUUCCGCCCCUUAGUGCUGCAGCUAACGCAUUAAGCACUCCGCCUGGGGAGUACGGUCGCAAGACUGAAACUCAAAGGAAUUGACGGGGGCCCGCACAAGCGGUGGAGCAUGUGGUUUAAUUCGAAGCAACGCGAAGAACCUUACCAGGUCUUGACAUCCUCUGACAACCCUAGAGAUAGGGCUUUCCCUUCGGGGACAGAGUGACAGGUGGUGCAUGGUUGUCGUCAGCUCGUGUCGUGAGAUGUUGGGUUAAGUCCCGCAACGAGCGCAACCCUUGAUCUUAGUUGCCAGCAUUUAGUUGGGCACUCUAAGGUGACUGCCGGUGACAAACCGGAGGAAGGUGGGGAUGACGUCAAAUCAUCAUGCCCCUUAUGACCUGGGCUACACACGUGCUACAAUGGACAGAACAAAGGGCUGCGAGACCGCAAGGUUUAGCCAAUCCCACAAAUCUGUUCUCAGUUCGGAUCGCAGUCUGCAACUCGACUGCGU
rnacentral:rRNA from 1 species